rnacentral:misc_RNA from 1 species
UCUCUCUCUCUCUCUCUUAUUUUUAUAAUCGUUUGUACAUUUGUAAUCGUUUAUUUUUGGGGAAUAGUGUUUUGUAAUUGUUGAUGAAGCUGCAAGCACAUAUAAUUCUGGCAUACUCAUGGUAUAAUCAUGGUUUACAGCAAGGAACAAGGAAGCAUCUUCCUUUACUUGUGUUUAGGUAACACUCUGUUUGCAGCUUCUCCUUUCUUUGCUUUACAACAAACACCCAGCCAUUGCUCAAUAUUUUGAUGCUGAAUCUCCAUGAAUACUCCUUUUCAACCCAACUUAAUAGGUUCAAACAUGUGAUCUUUCUUCAUUCUCUG